rnacentral:tRNA from 1 species
CGGGGUGUGGUCUAGUUGGCUAUGAUGCCUGCUUUGGGAGCAGGAGGCCGCAGGUUCGAGUCCUGCCACCCCGA